AUUGAGCGCUGGCGGCAUGCCUUACACAUGCAAGUCGAACGGCAGCACGGGAGCAAUCCUGGUGGCGAGUGGCGAACGGGUGAGUAAUGUAUCGGAACGUACCUUUCAGUGGGGGAUAACGUAGCGAAAGUUACGCUAAUACCGCAUAUUCUGUGAGCAGGAAAGCAGGGGAUCGCAAGACCUUGCGCUGAUUGAGCGGCCGAUAUCAGAUUAGCUAGUUGGUGAGGUAAAGGCUCACCAAGGCGACGAUCUGUAGCGGGUCUGAGAGGAUGAUCCGCCACACUGGAACUGAGACACGGUCCAGACUCCUACGGGAGGCAGCAGUGGGGAAUUUUGGACAAUGGGCGCAAGCCUGAUCCAGCCAUGCCGCGUGAGUGAAGAAGGCCUCGGUUG
rnacentral:rRNA from 1 species